ensembl:lncRNA
GUCCCACUGAGUUUUUGACCAUCUCUCUGGAUUGAUGGCAAUCCCUGGAACACGGAGAAUUUACUGCAAUGAAUAGAAGGUCUGUCCAAGUCUGUCUGCAGCUGGACUACAAUUGCUUUAUUUUUUUCCUAGCUUUUUGUUCUGGAGAAGGAGCCAAGUCAACCUCGUUGGACUCUUCCCUGGCUGAGCUAAGUGAAAUGAGACCUUCUAUCUUCUCUUGAGUUCUUUCUGGAUGACAGCACCAUUCAUUGAAGAAGCUUCAAGACUAAGGAGUUUGGAUAGGAAACUCUCAUGAGAAAACUAAAAAACUGUGGUACCAAUGUGGACAGAGGAUUCAUAUUGCUAAGAAGUUUUCAUGCCUUGCUUUUUUUAACCUGAGUUACCAGAAAUCAUAUCCUACAUGGUCUCUCACUGAUUGCAUGGACAUGAACACCACCCAAGGGUGAGAUUUUUCUUGAUGCUAAUCUAUGAGUCUGCUUUAGUUCUCCAACAUCCAUUUGUGAUCGUCAUCUUGGUGCUCUCAAGUCUCCUUGUUAUGCCUUCACCAGUACUGUGAACCACAAACACAAUGCCUAACAAAAGCUCCAUGGCUGUGGAGGGG